CCGAAAGAGCCUGGGAACCUGAAGCUCGGGCUUCACCGCUGGGCUGUGACGGAUUUAAACCCAGUUGAAGUGCAGUCAUGGUGUGCUCAAGGUGGUGACAGAGAACAGAGUGGGUGUGCCCAGCCGCAGCAGUGCGGAACAGUGUGCCCAGUGAGCUUUGAAGGAUCACGGGUUUUACAGUCAGCUGGUAUCGCGCACACACCAGGGUGGUAGGGUGCAUUGGGUUUCAAAUUGGGUACUUUUAACACUUUAGUGCCUGACUGCUGCUCUUCACUGACUUGACUCAGUCACUUGUAGCUUUAUUGGUCUGAACCAGUUCCUUGUUCCCAGGUUACAGACCUGCCUAUCGUUCCAAUAAUCAAUCCUGUCUCACUUGAAUGAAGGGAGCAUGUCUCAAAUGUAAAGCUCUGGUUCUCACACUGUACUCUGAGGUCCAAAUGACUGUCUGUCCUGUAACCUGAUGUCUCAACCCCAGUGAGAAGAGUCAAUUCUUUAGUGUUCACCAACAUGGGAGGCUUCACCAGAGCAGGCUUUUGCUUUGGGCUCUGCUGUUUGUUUGCAGAACACCCAAAAGCAAGCGAACACUCUUCCCAGCAGUACCUUAGGGUUUUGCCAUUGUAAAUGGGUCUGAUGUGACUGACAAGACCAGAGAGAUCGGAUGUAAACUACAUUUGCAUAUGCUUGUUGUCUCACAUGAUACAUUUAGGGUAUGCAGCUCUUUUUCUAGUUUUUAUUUUUACUAUUUAAGUUUGGAAAUGAUGCCAAAUUUUUGUAUUUCUUUAAUCAAUGUGUUCUCCUUGGUGAUAUAUAUUGCAUUAUAUAUUGAUGUGUGUAUCAAUAUAUACCGAUAUGUGUUACACUUACGCAUACAAACACACAUAAGUGAGGGGUGAAACCGUAGCCUGCACUCCCUAGCCUCUGCAGAGAGACCCUAAGAGCAGAAUCUCGGUGUUGUGAUGUACAGAAAUGGAGAAGAGUAUUAAACCAUAUUUAAGAAUAUAUUUUGUGUGCUUGAGAUUUUUUAGGAAUAUUCCUAGAAAAGUCUGGACUACAAGGGACUAAAUCUUCUGUUUGUUAGAUCAGUCGUCCUAAUAAAUGCUCAGCCUUAGUUAUUCUCACUCUAAGAAGGACAGCUGAGGUUGUGGUCCUGGGAUGUGCUGUAGGGAUAUGCCAUAGGGAGCUUCCACUUUCUACAGCCAAACUGAUGUAUAGCUUCCUCCACUGUACUUGUAAGUCAGAAGGCAAUUUACGUAUGCUUGGCUUUGAUUUUUUUGUUUUUGUUUUAAGGUAUUUCAAACCUCCCUGUAUUCCAUAAAG
ensembl:lncRNA